GUGGUCGCUUCUGCAGCACGCACACUAAAAUUGGAACAAUACAGAGAGGAUUAGCAUGGCCCCUGUGCAAGGAUGACAUGCAAAUUUAUGAAGUGUUCCACAUUUUU